rnacentral:tRNA from 1 species
GAAAAAGUAUGCAAGAACUGCUAACUCUAUGCCUCCGUGUCUAACAGCAUGGCUUUUUCA